rnacentral:rRNA from 1 species
GUCGGGGUGACCCGAAAUGACCCGGAGAAGCCGUAGGGAGGUCCGGGGAGAGUUGUCUCUUCUCUAUAAGCGUUCGAGUUCCCUGGAAGCCUCUAGGAGGGAGAUAGGGUUUGGAACGCGAAGAGCACCGCACUUACGGCGGUGUCCGGAUCUUCCCCUCGGACCUUGAAAAUCCGGGCGAGGGCCACGAGGAACACCGCGCCGGCUCGUACCCAUAUCCGCAGCAGGUCUCCAAGGUGAAUAGCCUCUAGUCGAUAGAAUAAUGUAGGUAAGGGAAGUCGGCAAACCCGAUCUGUAACUUCGGGAUAAGGAUUGGCUCUGAGGAUCGUGGCGCGCCGGGCUUGGUCGGGAAGUGGAGCGGUGCCAACGUGCCGGGCCUGGGCGAGGUGAAGGGCGCUCGUCGUCUGGACCCUAGCUCGGUCCCGUGCCUUGGCCACCCACGGACCUUCCUUGCUGCGAGCCUCCCGGCUGUCUAGUUUCCGGCCCAGCCGGAGUACGGGCCG